UGAGCAAUCUGCCCUUCUCAUCGGAAUAACCAUUGGAAACGAUGGCUAAUGCCGAAUAUGACCUCGGAUCACAUGUUCUGAGGUGGAAAGCUCCGGCGGAGAAGGAUGAGCUCGCGGCCUAUCAGCUUGUUGGUGAGGUAAUGGCUCACCAAGCAUUGACGGGUAGCCGGCCUGAGAGGGUGACCGGCCACACUGGGACUGAGACACGGCCCAGACCUCCG
rnacentral:rRNA from 1 species